AGGGCGCAGGGCGAAUGCCUUGGCACUGGGAGCCGAUGAAAGACGUGAUAAGCUGCGAUAAGCUUCGGGGAGCUGCAAAUAAGCAUUGAUCCGGAGAUCUCUGAAUGAGGAAACUCACCUGGGUUCAUACUCAGGUACAUUACACUGAAAUUCAAAAUAGGUGUAUUGAGGGAACCGCCUGAACUGAAACAUCUAAGUAGGGCGAGGAAGAGACAUCAAACGAGAUUCCGUAAGUAGUGGCGAGCGAACGCGGAAGAGGGCAAACCGAGAGUAGAAAUACUUUCGGGGUACGGACUGCUUUUAAGACUCAAUCUGUUAACCGAACGGCAUGGGAAGGCCGGUCAGAGAGUGUGAGAACCACGUAGGUGAAAACGGAGAGAGCUGCGCAGGAUCCAGAGUACGGCCAGACACGUGAAACCUGGUCGGAAUACGGGGGGACCACCCUCCAACCCUAAAUACUACCCAGUGACCGAUAGCGUAUAGUACUGUGAAGGAAAGGUGAAAAGCACCCCGGGAGGGGAGUGAAAAAGAACCUGAAACCCUGUGCCUACAAGCACCUAGAGCACGUCAAUGUGUGAUAGGGUACUUUUUGUAGAACGGUCCGGCGAGCGAUUGUAUGCAGCAAGGUUAAGGACUUAAGGUCUGGAGCCGAAGCGAAAGCGAGUUUGAAAAGGGCGUUAAGUUGCAUAUAAUGGGCCCGAAACCGGGUGACCUACCCAUGGUCAGGUUGAAGUGGAAGUAAAAUUCCAUGGAGGACCGAACCGACCUCCGUUGAAAAGGCGGCGGAUGAACUGUGGGUAGCGGAGAAAUUCCAAUCGAACCCGGAGAUAGCUGGUUCUCCCCGAAAUAGUUUUAGGACUAGCCUCAAGUUAGAUACCUGGAGGUAAAGCACUGAAUAGCCUAGCGGCCGAGAGGUUAGCGAAGCUUAUCAAACUCAGAAUGCCAGAGUAUUGAUGCUUGGGAGUCAGACAGUGUCAGAUAAAUGUCAUUGUCAAAAGGGAAACAGCCCAGAUCUACAGCUAAGGUCCCAAAGUCAGGUUAAGUGGAAAACGAUGUGAAGAUACGCAGACAACCAGGAUGUUGGCUCAGAAGCAGCCACUCAUUCAAAGAGUGCGUAAUAGCUCACUGGUCGAGCGUCUUUGCGCGGAGAAUUUAACGGGGCUAAACCUGACACCGAAGCUUAGGCAAUGCAGUAAUACAUUGGGUAGGGGAGCGUUGUAUACGCGGAGAAACAGUAGCGCAAGCGGCUGUGGAGUGUAUAGAAGUGAGAAUGCCGGAAUGAGUAGCGCGAAUGCAGUGAGAAUCUGCAUGGCCGAAAGCCUCAGGUUUCUGGAGGAAGGUUCGUCCGCUCCAGGUUAGUCGGGAGCUAAGGUGAGGCCGGAAGGCGUAGCCGAUGCACAGACGGUAGAGAUUCCGUCACCACCAAAAGAGUUAAGCACAGGGACACAUAUGAAGUCUCAGAGCCGGGUGUUGGUUCCGGUAGAGAUCGAGGGAAAUUAGUACCGAAGUCUGAGAUGGAAGAUGGCGAGAAAAGCUGUGUGUAUUUCUGAGGUGCCCGUACCGCAAACCGACACAGGUAGGUAGGAAGAAGAUUCUAAGGCCAACGGGAGAAGGGUUGUUAAGGAACUCGGCAAAUUGACCCCGUAACUUCGGGAGAAGGGGUGCUCCAGAGAUGGAGCCGCAGAGAAUCGGCCCAAGCAACUGUUUACCAAAAACACAGGUUUGUGCUAAAUCGAAAGAUGACGUAUACGAGCUGACGCCUGCCCGGUGCUGGAAGGUUAAGAGGAGAUGUGCAAGCAUUGAAUCGAAGCCCCAGUGAACGGCGGCCGUAACUAUAACGGUCCUAAGGUAGCGAAAUUCCUUGUCAGGUAAGUUCUGACCCGCAUGAAAGGCGUAAUGAUUUGGGCACUGUCUCAACAGCCCGCCCGGCGAAAUUGUAGUACCGGUGAAGAUGCCGGUUACCCGCGACAAGACGGAAAGACCCCAUGGAGCUUUACUGUAGCCUAAUAUUGGGUUUCGAUGUUGCAUGCACAGGAUAGAUGGGACACUGGGAAACAAUCGCUUUGGCGGUUGCGGAGUGGCCGUUGGGAUACCAUCCUUGCGAUAUUGGAAUUCUAACCUGCGGCUCUGAAUCGAGUCGGGGGACAUUGUUAGGUGGGCAGUUUGACUGGGGCGGUCGCCUCCUAAAGAGUAACGGAGGCGUUCAAAGGUUCGCUCAGCUUGAACGGAAAUCAAGCAAAAGAGUGCAAACGCAGAAGCGAGCCUAACUGCGAGACUGACGGGUCGAGCAGUAACGAAAGUUGGAGUUAGUGAUCCGGUGGUAUGUGAGUGGAAAUGCCAUCGCUCAACGGAUAAAAGUUACCCUGGGGAUAACAGGCUGAUCUCCCCCAAGAGUCCACAUCGACGGGGAGGUUUGGCACCUCGAUGUCGGCUCAUCGCAUCCUGGGGCUGUAUUCGGUCCCAAGGGUUUGGCUGUUCGCCAAUUAAAGCGGUACGCGAGCUGGGUUCAGAACGUCGUGAGACAGUUCGGUCCCUAUCUGUCGUGGGCGCAGGAUAUUUGAUGGGAGCUGUCCCUAGUACGAGAGGACCGGGACGGACGUACCUCUGGCGCACCAGUUGUUCCGCCAGGAGCAUAGCUGGGCAACUACGUACGGAUCGGAUAAACGCUGAAAGCAUCUAAGCGUGAAGCCGACCCAAAGAUAAGAUAUCCCACUGAUUCAAUCAGGUAAGAUCCCUUGU
rnacentral:rRNA from 1 species